rnacentral:rRNA from 1 species
UGGGGAAUAUUGGGCAAUGGGCGCAAGCCUGACCCAGCAACGCCGCGUGAAGGAAAAGGCCCUAACGGGUUGUAAACUUCUUUUGUCAGGGACGAAGAAAGUGACGGUACCUGACGAAUAAGCCACGGCUAACUACGUGCCAGCAGCCGCGGUAAUACGUAGGUGGCAAGCGUUAUCCGGAUUUACUGGGUGUAAAGGGCGUGUAGGCGGGAGAGCAAGUCAGACGUGAAAUUCCAGGGCUCAACCCCUGGAACUGCGUUUGAAACUGUUCUUCUUGAGUGAUGGAGAGGCAGGCGGAAUUCCGUGUGUAGCGGUGAAAUGCGUAGAUAUACGGAGGAACACCAGUGGCGAAGGCGGCCUGCUGGACAUUAACUGACGCUGAGGCGCGAAAGCGUGGGGGAGCAAAACAGGAUUAGAUACCC